UACCAUCUCUCUCAGACUGACCCCCUAAGAACCCUAGUUUGAGCCGCCACCAAAUUCCACCAGCGCCAGUGGCGGCGCCGAUGCAAAACCCCACCAAAAUAAUACCCCAAACUCUCCUCAAGACCCUCAUGCCAAAUAUCACUUCCAUUUCCUUCGAGCCAUUCCGUAUUCUCUCGAAUCUUAGAUCAAAGGUUUGGUUCAAAACCCUAGUUCUUCCAAAAUUCCCCAAAAUCACACCACACACUCCCCUCACUUCCCUCUUCUUAAAUCUGUAACUAGUUUCCCUCGAAUCUCACUAGGCCGUCUCAAAUUCCAAAUCUAGGGUUCUUAAGGUUCAAGUUUGUUUAGAAGUUUUCAGGUCGAUUGAUUUCUAUUUAAUGUUUUCUGUCUAUUUUUUACCAAAAUAGACAGAUAACAUUAAUUGAAAAUCAAUUUCGAUGGGGCAUUUUUGUAAAGCCAAAAAUCAGUAAGUUCUGUUCAUUGUCAUUCUUCUUCGUUUAAUUCUAUUUCUUCAUAAUUUUUAUUUCUAGGAUGAUUCUAUCUACAUAGCUUAUAAUGAUAAUUGAUUCAAUGAUUAUUUGUUUAGGAUUAGUAGUUGUAGUGAUUCUUUUCUCUCCCUUCUUUAAGUGUUUCAUCUUGGUUUAAGUGUUGUUAAAUGUUGGCUUGAAUUUACUUAGUCUAUUUUUUCACUUGUUUAAGCUUAGUUCUCAGUGUUUAAGCUUGUUAUGUCAAUUUUCUGAUUGGCUUGAUCUUGAAUGAUUUGUGUAAGUAAUUGAGCUUAGAUAGGAUUAGCACUUUAGUAAACAUUGUUCUACAUUGGUGAUUAAUGGGUUAGGAUACUUAAUGCAGCUUUAGGAGUUUGAUCAAACUUAGUUGAAUUUGUAAAUUCAUGUUAGUGUUUAAACCUAAUUGCUAACUUAGGUAAAGAGAUUGGGCCAAUUUGGGUAAAUUUUAGCCUAGAUAAAGGGUAGUUUGGACAUUUAGGAUUAUGUAACACAUGGUAGUUGAAACUAGAAUCUUCUAGGGCCUCUCAAAGUAUGACUUUAAUGUAAUUUUAGUAAUUGUAGUGUAUUAACUUGUGACGCAAGUCGAAAAAUAAGGGACUAAAUGAAAAUAAAUAGGGACUAAAAAGGAAAACAGAAAAUUUAAGUUCAGGUUGAAUUCCUGCCUAAAACAGUUUCAUCUUACCAUAAUUAGUAGUAACCUCAGUGAUUCAAUGAUAAAACGAUUAGUCUAUUUGUAUUACUAUGUCACUAUCCAAAUUCUAUACCCGGUCGUGAUGGCGCCUCUCGUGAAGACAAGGCCAACCAACAACUCAAAAUCCUUUUUGAAACAACUAUAAAACAUAAAUGAAUGGAAAUACUAAUUUAUGGCAUUUAACUAUGAAAUUUCAUUCUAACACAAUCCGACCGGGGUGUCACAAGUCACGAGCAACUAAUGAGUAGGGACACUACUACUGGACCAACAAUGUAUAUAUAUACAAGAUAAAACCGGAAUGCAAAGAUGGAGUGUGGUGCCGCGAACGCUAGCGAUCACCGUGCUCAACUAUCCCAAUAAGUCCUUCGGUCCUGCUGAUAACCCGCUACCGGGUGGACAAUACCUGCAACUGCAGGCAAGGUGCUGGGAGUAAAGUGAGUACUUCCAACUCAGUGGUAAUAAGAGAGAAUAAUAUCUGAGCGAUAAGAAAACACGUAUGAGCACCCCAAAUUGCUACAAAAGACAGAACAACCCCUUUUGAGAAAACCGAAAUACUGUGAGAAUCCCUUUAGAAAAUCCCAAGUUGACUUCAAAAAAUCUCUUUUGAAAAUAUAUUUUUCAACAAUUGCAAAGGUAAUUUCAACAAGCAAGGAAUAUUCUGAAACCUUCCCCCCGAGAUCAAUAUCACUCACAAUAUCCAACAUCGGCCUCUCGGGCUCAGCACUCCUUAACACAUAACACCGGGUAUCUAGUCAACAAGGCAAGUAACAGUAUGUAUGCCAAUGAUAUAUGAGUGCUAAAUGUCNNNNNNNNNNNNNNNNNNNNNNNNNNNNNNNNNNNNNNNNNNNNNNNNNNNNNNNNNNNNNNNGCCAAUGAUAUAUGAGUGCUAAAUGUCGUGCCACGUAGUACAAACAGGAGUAAAUGCAUGAAUGCAAUGCAAUGCACAUGAAUACGAUGCGGCGUGCAGCUCGAGCCAACCAUGCAUAUGAUUUAACGUCGACGGCGCUCACUGUCGGGGUUCAGACUCCGUAGGGGCUCCUUCAGCGCAAGCGCAAUAUCAUACAUGUCAAUAGUUACCACUGUUUCCAUAACAAUACACGGUGCCAAUAGUUACCACCGUUUCCAUUUCAUUACACGGUGUCAAUAGUUACCACCGUUCCAAGAAAUAAUAUGUAGUCCAGAAAAUAGUGAGAUAAUGGUCGUCAGCCCGAAAUAUCAUUUAAGAAUCAUUUAUGUUUUCAAAACAUACAAUUUUAGCCGAGUUUUCAAAGAUAGUGUUAAAAACCCUGGACUGAAUUCAAAUAGUAUGCAAAUCAUGCUAACUCUUAUAUAUCAAUCCCUAAAGGAUUCUACAAGUCGGCACAAGGCUCCAAACAUGGCAUCAAGCCCAGAUAACAUCAAUAUACGGUGCAAAGCAAUCUCCAAUAUAGUAUAUUUCAUCCCUUGGAUUGAACCGAGUCACAAUUUCCCACAUAUAUGACCCCUCACUAGCCAUGGAGUGUGUGUCUCGCCUCAUAUAAACCAAUAUAGUAUAAUUCAUCCCGCGGAUUGAACCGAGUCACAAUUUCCACAUAUAUGACGCCGCACUACCAUGGAGUGCGUGUCUCGCCUCAUAUAGCGUCACAAUAUGAUAUACGGGGUUUCAAAUAAUUGGCAAUAAGCCUCAAGUAUGGCAAUGAGCCCAAGUCAUAAUGAUAACGACAAAACAUUUACAAUUUAGCGGUAAAAUCAACAACCAGGACGGACCAAGUCACAAUCCCCAACGGUGCUCUACCCCACGCUCAGGUCCAGCGUGCAAGUCACCACAAUACAGCACUAGAAUGUGCAAAUCCGGGGAUUCAAACCCUCAGGAUAUCAUUCUCAAAUAUUACUCAUCUCGAACCAGCAGAAUCUCAAGCUCGUGACGCCUUUGCCCCUCAAAUCGGCCUCCACGCGCGUCGAAUUUAGCCAAAAAUAGAGCGAAUACAUCACAAUAUGCAAAUGGGACAAUGCCCGAUCGAAAACAAUCGAAUUAUAGCAAGAACCUCGAAACUAGCAAAACUCGAGCCACGGUCCCGCUUCUCGAAAAAUUACGAAACUUGUAUUUCCGGAAUCCUCGUCUCCCCACGAGUUCGUACAUACCAAGAACUCCCAAAUUUGAGAUCAAAUGACCUACCAAAUCCCAAUUAAAAAUGUCAAAAACUCAAGCCCUAGUUUCUUCAAUUUCAUACCCAAAUUCAGAGAACUAAUGCAUGAUUCUUCAAUAAUAUCAUAUAUUAAGCUCAUAAAACUUACCUCAAGUCGAAACCUAGGUGAAGUCCUCUUAUUCCCUCGUCCAAUACCUCCAAAAUCGCUCAACAACAGAGGAAAAAUGACUUAAUCUCGCGGAGGAAGUGUUUUUAAACAUUCUGCUCCAGGUCCAAAAUCCUUCAUCGCGUUCGCGACUUCUCCCACGCGAAUGCGAAGACAAAAAUAUUUUAACAAUCUAAAUGCUCUAUAUAUAUACAAGAUAAAAUCGGAAUGCAAAGAUAGUGUACGGUGCCGCGAACACUGGCGAUCUGCGAACGGAAGACAAAAAUAUUUUAACAGGUCCAAAUGCUCUACGCGAACACGACAUUUCUCCUGCGAACGCGACGCAACAUCCCUUUUCUACGCGAACGGGAUAGCCUUCACGCGAACGCGAUGCACAACAUCCCAGGACUACGCGAACGCGGUAGCCUUCAUGCGAAUGCGAUGCACAAGAAUUCCAGGCCCUCAAAUUACUCUACGCGAUCGUGUUACUCCUCAUGCGAACGCGAUGCUUUGUGGUCUGCAACAUAUGACAGCAAAAAUCUGUUCUCUCCCAAGGCCAAAACUAGUCUGUUUGAACACUCGAAACAUCAUACAAACUCGUUCCAAUCAUAAAAACACGUCCUUCAACACAAAUCAUCAAAUCACAACGGAUUCAAGCUUAAAUUUUUCUUAAAACUUCGGAAACUCAUAUUUGAUCAAAAACCCGACCAAACGACAUCCGAAUGAUCUGAAAAUUUGCAGACAUAUCCAAAAUCACCUAACGAAGCUACUGCAACUCUCAAAAUUCUAUUCCGACUCUCGGAUCAAAAUCUCACAUAUCAACCGGAAUCCGGCUAAAUUCAAACUUCGUCAAUUCAAGCCUAAUUCUACACCGGACCUCCAAAUUCAAUUCCGAUCGCUCUCCUAAGUCACAAUUCAUCUCCCGAAGCUAACUGAAUCAUCGAAAAUCGCAUCCGAGUCUUCUAACUCACAAGUCAACUUCCGGUUGACUUUUCCAAAACAAGCUUGCUUCAAAGAGGUCAUGUGCCUUAUUUUCAACCAAAACUAAUUCAAUUACACCCGAUCGACUCUAACACCGAUAUUAAAACAUGAAGCAACACAAUAAGGGGGAAACAGAGUAGUAACAUAUAGGACGACGGGUCAAGUCGUCACAUACUAAAGUAAUUGUUUCAAAUUUGUUAUUCACCUUAGUAGUGAGAAUUUAUCAAAAGGCAAGAAAGUAAAAUAAUUGGAAUACUGACCUUAAAAGUUCAAACGAGCACGUCUAGUUAGCUUAAGUAAUUGUAUAUUGCUUUUCCCAAUUAUAAUUUGUUAAAGACGUUUGGAUCCGUUUUUGUGGUAUUAGUAAGCAUUCAGCCUAAUUCGAUUUGUUAAGCAAUCAGUCCGCCCAGCUGACUUUGGUCUUUGAUCGACUUGUGAAUGCUUUCCUCUAUGCCUAUUUGGAUGGUAAUUCUUCUACGGGGGCUAUGUUCAAGCCCAGGCUGGUUGAGGAUUCAAAUUUGUAUGAACUCAUAGACCCAAAUAUAAUAAGUUUUUAAACAAUAUUAAGUAAUUAGGAUUGUUUCUUUAUUUUUAGCGACAAAAAAUAUAAAAAAUUAUAGUUGCUUUAGGUUUGGCCUUUAAUUAAUAAAAUGAGACGAGCCUCGCAAAAUAAAAUGCAUAAAUUACGGGGCCCUCAAUAAAUGGUUAUAUCAAAAUACUUAGAGUCCAGGAUGGACCGUUUAACAAAUUUCACGGUCCUCCUCAAAGAUACUAACGUGUUAGUCACUUUAGGCGCGCUUUUAAUAUUUUAUCUUCUUAAACUUAGGUGUGCAUUUCAUGUGACCCAAAUCAAAUCCCAAAACGUUGAAUAAAAUGUGUUCAGGAUUGCGGGUGCAUUUCAUGUGGCGCAGUCCAAAGACGCAUUUUAAACGACGUUCAACUUUCUUUAAAAGUCAAAUAAAAAGCGAUUAAAAUGUAAAUCGGCACAUAGGUUCAUCAUGGAAUAAAAUUAGAUAAAUAAGCUAAACAUGAUAGUUGAGCGACCGUGCUAGAACCACGAAACCCGGGAAUGCCUAACACCUUCUCCCGGGUUAACAGAAUUCCUUACUCGGAUUUCUUAUUCGCAGACUGUUGACAGAGUCAUAUUUUCUUUGGUUCGGGAUUCAACCGGUGACUUGGGACACCAUUAAUCUCCCAAGUGGCAACUCUGAAUUUUAAUAACAAAUCCCCUUCCGAAUGUUCUUUAAUUGGAAAAAUUCAUUUAUGCCCUUGCGGGGUGUAGUGAAAAAGGAAGUGUGACAACUAUUGAGAAGACUCAACAAAACCAAGAUUUUCCUUCUCUCGUUGCUGAAGCUUCCGCAAUUAUUGAAGAUGAUAUGGGUAUCCCCACUCCUUUAAUCCAAGUUGAUCCCACUGCUAUUGAUGUAGCUGCUUCAGUUCCUUUAUCUUCCCAGUGACAAGUUUGAGUUGUUUGAAUUCUUUUGUGUUUUUUUUUCUUUUUGAAAAAUUGUGGUUAAAACCCUUGGUCUCAUUUGAGGGUUUGUUUUGGAAAUUUAAGUCCUAGACCUUUUAUGGGGCAAUAUGUAUAAACAAUUUCCAGUUUAUGACUAAGUUCAUACUUAGUCUAAGCUCUUUAAUAUUAAG
rnacentral:lncRNA from 1 species